rnacentral:rRNA from 1 species
AGCGAACGCUGGCGGCAGGCCUAACACAUGCAAGUCGAACGAACUCUUCGGAGUUAGUGGCGGACGGGUGAGUAACACGUGGGAACGUGCCUUUAGGUUCGGAAUAACUCAGGGAAACUUGUGCUAAUACCGAAUGUGCCCUUCGGGGGAAAGAUUUAUCGCCUUUAGAGCGGCCCGCGUCUGAUUAGCUAGUUGGAGGUGUAAUGGACCCCCAAGGCGACGAUCAGUAGCUGGUCUGAGAGGAUGACCAGCCACAUUGGGACUGAGACACGGCCCAAACUCCUACGGGAGGCAGCAGUGGGGAAUCUUGCGCAAUGGGCGAAAGCCUGACGCAGCCAUGCCGCGUGGAUGAUGAAGGUCUUAGGAUUGUAAAAUCCUUUCACCGGUGAAGAUAAUGACUGUAGCCGGAGAAGAAGCCCCGGCUAACUUCGUGCCAGCAGCAGCCGCCGUAA